UACGAAGGGUGCAAGCGUUGUUCGGAUUUACUGGGCGUAAAGGGUUCGUAGGCGGGACGGAAAGUCGAAUGUGAAAACCCCGGGCUUAACCUGGGACGUGCAUUCGAAACUUCCGUUCUUGAGUUUCGGAGAGGGUGGUGGAAUUGCUGGUGUAGGAGUGACAUCCGUAGAGAUCAGCAGGAACGCCGGAGGCGAAAGCGACCACCUGGCCGAGGACUGACGCUGAGGAACGAAAGCGUGGGGAGCAAAC
rnacentral:rRNA from 1 species